AAAGUCGUAACAAGGUCUCCGUAGGUGAACCUGCGGAGGGAUCAUCAAAGAAAUAUCCAAAAUAAGAAAAGGUGUCUUUUUUCCUGGUAAAAAAAAAGGGGAAAGAUGCUUUUUCUUACAAACAAACGAUCACAACUAUUGAAAAAAUAACAAGGAUUUGGGAUUGUGACUAAAAGUGUUUGCCUGAUAAUGAAUGAAUUGGAUAAGCAAAAAGAAAUACAACUUUCAACAACGGAUCUCUUGGCUCUC
rnacentral:misc_RNA from 1 species